UUAAGCGACUAAGCGUACACGGUGGAUGCCCUGGCAGUCAGAGGCGAUGAAGGACGUGCUAAUCUGCGAAAAGCGCCGGCGAGGUGAUAUGAACCUUUGACCCGGCGAUGUCCGAAUGGGGAAACCCAGUGCAAUUCGUUGCACUAUCGUUAACUGAAUACAUAGGUUAACGAGGCGAACCGGGGGAACUGAAACAUCUAAGUACCCCGAGGAAAAGAAAUCAACCGAGAUUCCCCCAGUAGCGGCGAGCGAACGGGGAGCAGCCCAGAGUCUGAAUCAGCUUGUGUGUUAGUGGAAGCGUCUGGAAAGUCGCACGGUACAGGGUGACAGUCCCGUACACGAAAGCACACAGGUUGUGAACUCGAAGAGUAGGGCGGGACACGUGGUAUCCUGUCUGAAUAUGGGGGGACCAUCCUCCAAGGCUAAAUACUCCUGACUGACCGAUAGUGAACCAGUACCGUGAGGGAAAGGCGAAAAGAACCCCGGCGAGGGGAGUGAAAAAGAACCUGAAACCGUGUACGUACAAGCAGUGGGAGCACCUUCGUGGUGUGACUGCGUACCUUUUGUAUAAUGGGUCAGCGACUUAUAUUCUGUAGCAAGGUUAACCGUAUAGGGGAGCCGAAGGGAAACCGAGUCUUAACUGGGCGUUAAGUUGCAGGGUAUAGACCCGAAACCCGGUGAUCUAGCCAUGGGCAGGUUGAAGGUUGGGUAACACUAACUGGAGGACCGAACCGACUAAUGUUGAAAAAUUAGCGGAUGACUUGUGGCUGGGGGUGAAAGGCCAAUCAAACCGGGAGAUAGCUGGUUCUCCCCGAAAGCUAUUUAGGUAGCGCCUCGUGAACUCAUCUUCGGGGGUAGAGCACUGUUUCGGCUAGGGGGCCAUCCCGGCUUACCAACCCGAUGCAAACUACGAAUACCGAAGAAUGUUAUCACGGGAGACACACGGCGGGUGCUAACGUCCGUCGUGAAGAGGGAAACAACCCAGACCGCCAGCUAAGGUCCCAAAGUCAUGGUUAAGUGGGAAACGAUGUGGGAAGGCACAGACAGCCAGGAUGUUGGCUUAGAAGCAGCCAUCAUUUAAAGAAAGCGUAAUAGCUCACUGGUCGAGUCGGCCUGCGCGGAAGAUGUAACGGGGCUAAACCAUGCACCGAAGCUGCGGCAGCGACGCUUAUGCGUUGUUGGGUAGGGGAGCGUUCUGUAAGCCGUUGAAGGUGUGCUGUGAGGCAUGCUGGAGGUAUCAGAAGUGCGAAUGCUGACAUAAGUAACGAUAAAGCGGGUGAAAAGCCCGCUCGCCGGAAGACCAAGGGUUCCUGUCCAACGUUAAUCGGGGCAGGGUGAGUCGACCCCUAAGGCGAGGCCGAAAGGCGUAGUCGAUGGGAAACAGGUUAAUAUUCCUGUACUUGGUGUUACUGCGAAGGGGGGACGGAGAAGGCUAUGUUAGCCGGGCGACGGUUGUCCCGGUUUAAGCAUGUAGGCGGAGGUUCCAGGUAAAUCCGGUACCUUAUUAACGCUGAGGUGUGAUGACGAGGCACUACGGUGCUGAAGUAACAAAUGCCCUGCUUCCAGGAAAAGCCUCUAAGCAUCAGGUAACACGAAAUCGUACCCCAAACCGACACAGGUGGUCAGGUAGAGAAUACCAAGGCGCUUGAGAGAACUCGGGUGAAGGAACUAGGCAAAAUGGUGCCGUAACUUCGGGAGAAGGCACGCUGAUAUGUAGGUGAAGCCCCUGCGGGUGGAGCUGAAAUCAGUCGAAGAUACCAGCUGGCUGCAACUGUUUAUUAAAAACACAGCACUGUGCAAACACGAAAGUGGACGUAUACGGUGUGACGCCUGCCCGGUGCCGGAAGGUUAAUUGAUGGGGUUAGCGGUAACGCGAAGCUCUUGAUCGAAGCCCCGGUAAACGGCGGCCGUAACUAUAACGGUCCUAAGGUAGCGAAAUUCCUUGUCGGGUAAGUUCCGACCUGCACGAAUGGCGUAAUGAUGGCCAGGCUGUCUCCACCCGAGACUCAGUGAAAUUGAACUCGCUGUGAAGAUGCAGUGUACCCGCGGCAAGACGGAAAGACCCCGUGAACCUUUACUAUAGCUUGACACUGAACACUGGUCCUUGAUGUGUAGGAUAGGUGGGAGGCUUUGAAGCGUGGACGCCAGUCUGCGUGGAGCCGACCUUGAAAUACCACCCUUUAAUGGCUGGUGUUCUAACGUAGACCCGUAAUCCGGGUUGCGGACAGUGUCUGGUGGGUAGUUUGACUGGGGCGGUCUCCUCCCAAAGAGUAACGGAGGAGCACGAAGGUUAGCUAAUCCUGGUCGGACAUCAGGAGGUUAGUGCAAUGGCAUAAGCUAGCUUGACUGCGAGAGUGACGGCUCGAGCAGGUGCGAAAGCAGGUCAUAGUGAUCCGGUGGUUCUGAAUGGAAGGGCCAUCGCUCAACGGAUAAAAGGUACUCCGGGGAUAACAGGCUGAUACCGCCCAAGAGUUCAUAUCGACGGCGGUGUUUGGCACCUCGAUGUCGGCUCAUCACAUCCUGGGGCUGAAGUAGGUCCCAAGGGUAUGGCUGUUCGCCAUUUAAAGUGGUACGCGAGCUGGGUUUAGAACGUCGUGAGACAGUUCGGUCCCUAUCUGCCGUGGGCGCUGGAGAAUUGAGGGGGGCUGCUCCUAGUACGAGAGGACCGGAGUGGACGCAUCACUGGUGUUCGGGUUGUCAUGCCAAUGGCACUGCCCGGUAGCUAAAUGCGGAAAAGAUAAGUGCUGAAAGCAUCUAAGCACGAAACUUGCCCCGAGAUGAGUUCUCCCUGACCCUUUAAGGGUCCUGAAGGAACGUUGAAGACUACGACGUUGAUAGGUCGGGUGUGUAAGCGCAGCGAUGCGUUGAGCUAACCGAUACUAAUGAACCGUGAGGCUUAACCUU
rnacentral:rRNA from 2 species